rnacentral:rRNA from 1 species
GAUGAACGCUGGCGGCGUGCCUAACACAUGCAAGUCGAACGAACCUGAUCUUCGGAAAAGGUUAGUGGCGCACGGGUGAGUAACACGUAGGUGACCUGCCCUGGAGUGGGGGAUAACUUCUCGAAAGAGAGGCUAAUACCGCAUACGCUCGGCCAUUCAGUUGGUCGAGUAAAGCUCCGGCGCUCCAGGAUGAGCCUACGUCUGAUUAGCUAGUUGGUAGGGUAAAGGCCUACCAAGGCGACGAUCAGUAACUGGUCUGAGAGGAUGAUCAGUCACACCGGAGCUGAGACACGGUCCGGACUCCUACGGGAGGCAGCAGUGGGGAAUAUUGGACAAUGGGCGCAAGCCUGAUCCAGCAAUGCCGCGUGUGUGAAGAAGGCCUUCGGGUUGUAAAGCGCUUUAGCCUGGAAAGAAAAAACUUUGGUUAACACCCAAAGUCUUGACGGUACCAGGAGAAUAAGCACCGGCUAACUC